rnacentral:rRNA from 1 species
CAGCAGCCGCGGGAAUACGUAGGGUGCAAGCGUUAAUCGGAAUUACUGGGCGUAAAGCGUGCGCAGGCGGUUAUAUAAGACAGAUGUGAAAUCCCCGGGCUCAACCUGGGAACUGCAUUUGUGACUGUAUAGCUAGAGUACGGCAGAGGGGGAUGGAAUUCCGCGUGUAGCAGUGAAAUGCGUAGAUAUGCGGAGGAACACCGAUGGCGAAGGCAAUCCCCUGGGCCUGUACUGACGCUCAUGCACGAAAGCGUGGGGAGCAAACAGGAUUAGAGACCCCUGUAGUCCCUGUUUCUUAUAC